rnacentral:rRNA from 1 species
ACCGGACCCUUCCGGGGUAGGCGUUGUCACAGGUGCUGCAUGGCUGUCGUCAGCUCGUGUCGUGAGAUGUUCGUUAAGUCCGCUAACGAGCGCAACCCUCGCUGUGUGUUAUAUGUGUCACACGGGACUGCCGGUCGUUAAGCCGGAGGAAGGUGGGGAUGAUGUCAAGUCAGCAUGGCCUUUAUAUCCUGGGCUACACACACGCUACAAUGGCCAACACAAUAGGUUGCUAAGCCGCGAGGUGGCGCCAAUCCAUAAAGUUGGUCUCAGUUCAGAUUGUAGGCUGCAACCCGCCUGCAUGAAGAUGGAGUUGCUAGUAACCGCAGGUCAGCUAUACUGCGGUGAAUACGUUCCCGGGGCUU